rnacentral:rRNA from 1 species
GAUGAACGCUGGCGGCGUGCCUAAUACAUGCAAGUCGAGCGAAUGGAUUGAGAGCUUGCUCUCAAGAAGUUAGCGGCGGACGGGUGAGUAACACGUGGGUAACCUGCCCAUAAGACUGGGAAUAACCCCGGGAAACCGGGGCUAAUACCGGAUAAUAUUUUGAACUGCAUGGUUCGAAAUUGAAAGGCGGCUUCGGCUGUCACUUAUGGAUGGACCCGCGUCGCAUUAGCUAGUUGGUGAGGUAACGGCUCACCAAGGCAACGAUGCGUAGCCGACCUGAGAGGGUGAUCGGCCACACUGGGACUGAGACACGGCCCAGACUCCUACGGGAGGCAGCAGUAGGGAAUCUUCCGCAAUGGACGAAAGUCUGACGGAGCAACGCCGCGUGAGUGAUGAAGGCUUUCGGGUCGUAAAACUACUGUUGUUAGGGAAGGAACAAAGUAGCUAGUUGUAAUAAGACUGGCACCUUGACGGUACCUAACCAGAAAG